AGCUGGUCCUAGUGCAGUGGUGUUUACAACUAACUGAUCACAAUCGUUACGGGUUGCUUUGGUCCUUCUCCAUUCCCACUGCUUCACUUGACUAGCCAUAA
ensembl:misc_RNA Y_RNA Y RNA